rnacentral:rRNA from 1 species
UCAAGCUAGAAAGGGCGCACGGUGGAUGCCUUGGCGCCAGGAGCCGAUGAAGGACGGGGCCAGCACCGAUAUGCCUCGGGGAGCCGCAAGCAGGCGUCGAUCCGGGGAUGUCCGAAUGGGGAAACCCGGCCGGGGUAAUGUCCGGCCAUCCGCCGCUGAAUUCAUAGGCGGCGAGAAGGGCACCGUGGGAACUGAAACAUCUCAGUACCGCGAGGAAGAGAAAUCAACGGAGAUUCCCUCAGUAGCGGCGAGCGAACGGGGAGGAGCCCAAACCGCAGAUGUGUAAGCCUGCCGGCGUUGCAUCUGCGGGGUUGCAGGACCACCGGGAGGUGCGGCAGAGCCUCCACGGCAGCGCAGCGCAUAGGCGAAGACGCCUGGAACGGCGCACCAGAGACGGUGACAGUCCGGUAGCCGAAAUGUGCCAGCGGGCCGGGUGGGAUCCUAAGUACCACGGGACACGGGGAAUCCCGUGGGAAGCCGGGGGGACCACCCUCCAAGGCUAAAUACUUCCUGGCGACCGAUAGUGAACCAGUACCGUGAGGGAAAGGUGAAAAGCACCCCGGGAGGGGAGUGAAACAGCACCUGAAACCGUGUGCCUACAAACGGCAGGAGGACGAUGGCCGCAAGGCCCGUCUGGCUGCGUACUUUUUGUAGAACGAACCGGCGAGUUGCUCUGGCAAGCGAGGUUAAGCGCCGCAGGCGCGGAGCCGUAGCGAAAGCGAGUCUGAAGAGGGCGAGAGUUUGCCGGAGCAGGCCCGAAACCGGGUGAUCUAUCCAUGGCCAGGGUGAAACGGAGGUAACACUCCGCGGAGGCCCGAACCAGUGGUUGUUGAAAAAACCUUGGAUGAGCUGUGGAUAGGGGUGAAAUGCCAAUCGAACCCGGAGAUAGCUGGUUCUCCCCGAAAUAGCUUUAGGGCUAGCCUCGGGGGUUGGCUGGUGGCGGUAAAGCACUGAUUGGGCUAGGGGCCCUACCCGGUUACCGAACCCAUUCAAACUCAGAAUGCUGCCAGCUGGACCCCGGGAGUCAGACUACGGGGGAUAAGCUCCGUGGUCAAAAGGGAAACAGCCCAGACCGCCAGCUAAGGUCCCCAAGCGCGGGCUAAGUGGGAAAGGAUGUAGAACCGCUCAGACAACCAGGAUGUUGGCUUAGAAGCAGCCAUUCAUUUAAAGAGUGCGUAAUAGCUCACUGGUCGAGUGGUUCUGCGCCGAAAAUGUAACGGGGCUCAAGCCCGUCACCGAAGCUGCGGAUCUGGUUCGCCAGAUGGUAGGGGAGCGUUCCCUGGGCGGAGAAGCCGUACCGAAAGGAGCGGUGGAGCGCAGGGAAGUGAGAAUGCCGGUAUAAGUAGCGAAAAGAGGGGUGAGAAUCCCCUCCGCCGAAAGCCCAAGGGUUCCUGAGGAAGGUUCGUCCUCUCAGGGUUAGUCGGGACCUAAGCCGAGGCGAAAAGGCGUAGGCGAUGGACAACCGGUGGAUAUUCCGGUACCACCUAUGGGCCGCUUGAGCGAAGCGGGGACGCAGAAGGGCUAGCCAGCCGGCGGAUGGAUGCCGGUCCAAGCGGGUAGGGUGUGCGGUAGGCAAAUCCGCCGCACAAAAACCCGAGACGUGAUGGGGAGCGAAGUUUAGUAGCGGAACUGGCGAAUCCCAGGCUGCCAAGAAAAGCCGCUAGCGAGGCCCAGGGUGCCCGUACCGUAAACCGACACAGGUGGGCGGGGAGAGAAUCCUAAGGCGCGCGAGAUCACCCUCGUUAAGGAACUCGGCAAUCUGACCCCGUAACUUCGGGAGAAGGGGUGCUCGAGUAGGUUGAGGCCUUGCAACGGGCCGAGGCCGAAAGAGUCGCAGAAAACAGGCCCAGGCGACUGUUUAGCAAAAACACAGGUCUCUGCUAAGUCGGAAGACGAAGUAUAGGGGCUGACGCCUGCCCGGUGCUGGAAGGUUAAGGGGAAGGGUCAGCGCAAGCGAAGCUCUGAACCGAAGCCCCAGUGAACGGCGGCCGUAACUAUAACGGUCCUAAGGUAGCGAAAUUCCUUGUCGGGCAAGUUCCGACCUGCACGAAUGGCGUAACGAUCUGGGCGCUGUCUCAACGAGGGACUCGGCGAAAUUGCAGUACCUGUGAAGAUGCAGGUUACCCGCGACUAGACGGAAAGACCCCAUGGAGCUUUACUCUAGCCUGGUAUUGAAUUUUGGUGCAGGAUGUACAGGAUAGGUGGGAGGCUGGGAAACCGGGGCGUCAGCUUCGGUGGAGCCGACGGUGGGAUACCACUCUUUCUGUACUGAAGUUCUAACCUUUGACCGUGAUCCGGUCAGGGGACCGUACCAGGUGGGGAGUUUGACUGGGGCGGUCGCCUCCUAAAGCGUAACGGAGGCGCCCAAAGGUUCCCUCAGCGCGGUCGGAAAUCGCGCGGCGAGUGCAAAGGCACAAGGGAGCUUGACUGCGAGACAGACAGGUCGAGCAGGGACGAAAGUCGGGCUUAGUGAUCAGGUGGUUCUGGGUGGAAGGGCCAUCGCUCAACGGAUAAAAGCUACCCUGGGGAUAACAGGCUGAUCUCCCCCAAGAGUCCACAUCGACGGGGAGGUUUGGCACCUCGAUGUCGGCUCAUCGCAUCCUGGGGCUGUAGUAGGUCCCAAGGGUUGGGCUGUUCGCCCAUUAAAGCGGUACGUGAGCUGGGUUCAGAACGUCGUGAGACAGUUCGGUCCCUAUCUGUCGCGGGCGCAGGAGAUUUGCGGGGAGCUGUCCCUAGUACGAGAGGACCGGGAUGGACGCACCGCUGGUGUACCAGUUGUCUCGCCAGGGGCACGGCUGGAUAGCCAAGUGCGGACGGGAUAAGCGCUGAAGGCAUCUAAGCGCGAAACCCACCCCAAGACGGGAUCUCCCACAGGGUCAACCUGGUAAGACCCCUUGUAGAUGACGAGGUCGAUAGGCCGGAGGUGGAAGGGCUGCGAGGCCUGGAGCUAACCGGUACUAAUCGGUCGAGGGCUUGACCUG